rnacentral:rRNA from 1 species
UAGCGUAGGGGGCUAGCGUUGUCCGGAAUCAUUGGGCGUAAAGCGCGCGUAGGCGGUUCAGGUAAGUCCGGUGUGAAAGUCCAAAGGCUCAACCUUUGAAUGCCGCUGGAUACUGCCUGACUUGAGUCCGGAAGGGGCGAGUGGAAGUCCUGGUGUAGCGGUGAAUGACGCAGAUAUCAGGAGGAACGACCAACUGGCGAAGGCAGC